UAAGGCUAAUAUAGAGUAAAUAACCACUGACAAAAUGUGUUAAAGCGUCUGUAUUUGGCUGACCGAGUGUUAUUACUACUUUUAUUUAUUUAUUUGUGUAUAUAAUCUGUACAAGAGUAAAGUUUACGACUUGUUUCUUCUGAGUGCUGCACAGAGCAGCCGAAGCUACGCUAAUUCUCGUGACUAUCUGACUGCUUUCCUACAGUAAACAUUACGUUUAGUUUAGUUAACGAUGUGACUGGGAGGAAUUCAUGGACCAGUUGGGACUUACCUCGGACGUGCUUUGGAGUAUCGUUGCUAUGGGGAUAAAGGAUAUCGCUGCUGUUCGGUAGAGGAGGGACUACAGAAAGAUGUACAGCUUCAGAGGAGGGAAUUUCGUGUUCCAGCCGCCUGGGAAUCUGUUCAGGAUGAGGAGUGGGGAAUGUUUUUGAUCUUAAUGUUUUUAAGAUCAAAAACAUGAGUACAGAUAAAAGUUGUCUCUGAUGGAGAGGUUAACAGAGAAAGAACAAAAACUCAGAUGGAGUUACCAUGUGGACUGACGAACUUGGGGAUCACGUGCUACCUGAAUGCCACAGUGCAGUGUCUCCGCUCAGUGCCUGAACUCAGAACCUAAUUACAGAACCGUCAUUUACUGUGUGUGGAGGAACUUGAGACAUUUGUAUGUGUGUGUGUGCAGGUAUUCUGGUGCGUUGAGGUCCUCUGGAGCAAAUGCGCCAUCUCAAUACUUCACAGCAGGUCAGUGUGUUAUUUUCAGGACAGAAAUGUGGGCGGUGCUACAAACCAUGCUGACC